UGUUGAUGUUCUGAUUGCUGCAUCUAUGGGUGCUGAUGAGUACGGGUUUGGUACUCUAGCUAUGAUUGCCACUGGAUGUAUCAUGGCUCGCAUUUGCCACACUAAUAAUUGCCCAGUUGGUGUUGCGAGUCAGAGAGAAGAACUGCGUGCUCGUUUUCCCGGUGUGCCUGGUGAUCUUGUCAAUUUCUUCUUAUAUAUUGCAGAAGAGGUGAGGGGAGUGUUAGCUCAGUUGGGAUAUGAGAAA